rnacentral:rRNA from 1 species
UCGGGAAUAUUGCGCAAUGGAGGAAACUCUGACGCAGUGACGCCGCGUAUAGGAAGAAGGUUUUCGGAUUGUAAACUAUUGUCGUUAGGGAAGAUACAAGACAGUACCUAAGGAGGAAGCCCCGGCUAACUAUGUGCCAGCAGCCGCGGUAAUACAUAGGGGGCAAGCGUUAUCCGGAUUUAUUGGGUGUAAAGGGUGCGUAGAUGGAGGAGCAAGUUGGUUGUGAAAUCCCUCGGCUCAACUGAGGAACUGCAACCAAAACUACUUCCCUUGAGUGUCGGAGAGGAAAGUGGAAUUCCUAGUGUAGCGGUGAAAUGCGUAGAUAUUAGGAGGAACACCAGUGGCGAAGGCGACUUUCUGGACGAUAACUGACAUUGAGGCACGAAAGUGUGGGGUAGCAAACAGGAUUAGAUACCC